rnacentral:misc_RNA from 1 species
GAUGAAGAACGUAGCGAAAUGCGAUAAGUAGUGUGAAUUGCAGAAUUCAGUGAAUCAUCGAAUCUUUGAACGCACAUUGCGCCCCUUGGUAUUCCAUGGGGCAUGCCUGUUCGAGCGUCAUUUGUACCCUCAAGCUUUGCUUGGUGUUGGGGCCUGCUGCACUGGCAGCCCUUAAAAUCAGUGGCGGCGCCAUCUGGCUCUAAGCGUAGUAAUUCUUCUCGCUAUGGAGUCCUGGUGGAUGCUUGCCAUCAACCCCCAAUUUUUCUAUGGUUGACCUCGGAUCAGGUAGGGAUACCCGCUGAACUUAAGCAUAUCAAUAAGCGGAGGA